GGCGGACGGGUGAGUAACACGUGGGUAACCUGCCUGUAAGAUUGGGAUAACUCCGGGAAACCGGAGCUAAUACCGGAUAACAUUUUGAACCGCAUGGUUCAAAGUUGAAAGACGGCUUUUAGCUGUCACUUACAGAUGGACCCGCGGCGCAUUAGCUAGUUGGUGAGGUAACGGCUCACCAAGGCGACGAUGCGUAGCCGACCUGAGAGGGUGAUCGGCCACACUGGGACUGAGACACGGCCCAGACUCCUACGGGAGGCAGCAGUAGGGAAUCUUCCGCAAUGGACGAAAGUCUGACGGAGCAACGCCGCGUGAACGAUGAAGGCCUUCGGGUCGUAAAGUUCUGUUGUUAGGGAAGAACAAGUACCAGAGUAACUGCUGGUACCUUGACGGUACCUAACCAGAAAGCCACGGCUAACUACGUGCCAGCAGCCGCGGUAAUACGUAGGUGGCAAGCGUUGUCCGGAAUUAUUGGGCGUAAAGCGCGCGCAGGCGGUUUCUUAAGUCUGAUGUGAAAGCCCACGGCUCAACCGUGGAGGGUCAUUGGAAACUGGGGAACUUGAGUGCAGAAGAGGAGAGUGGAAUUCCACGUGUAGCGGUGAAAUGCGUAGAGAUGUGGAGGAACACCAGUGGCGAAGGCGACUCUCUGGUCUGUAACUGACGCUGAGGCGCGAAAGCGUGGGGAGCGAACAGGAUUAGAUACCCUGGUAGUCCACGCCGUAAACGAUGAGUGCUAAGUGUUAGAGGGUUUCCGCCCUUUAGUGCUGCAGCAAACGCAUUAAGCACUCCGCCUGGGGAGUACGGUCGCAAGACUGAAACUCAAAGGAAUUGACGGGGGCCCGCACAAGCGGUGGAGCAUGU
rnacentral:rRNA from 1 species